ensembl:lncRNA
CUUGAACAGAAGAGGAAGAGACAAGUGAAGGUCGAGGAGGAGGAGAUGCAUUCUGCUCAUCAUCUUAAAGGCCUGAAGAACGUGCUGCUGAGAGCUUUGCAAUGCCUACCAGAAUAGUAACGGAGCUCUGGCAGGAGCAGCAGAUGGAGCAGAUGUCUCACGGCAUGCAGAUGUCAUCCCAGAUCAAGAAGAGAAGGUUCAAAUCCAGCGUGCCGGCAGCUGCUUUAGUUUGGAGGCUGGUAAUCCUGUUCAGAACCCGGUCAUGCUCCUCCGGCGGAGGUUACGGCACGGGAAGAGCGCUGAGAAAGGUCUCUUCAGUAAAUCAGGCCUCAGACGCAGGAUGGAUGACGUGAGGAUGAGUGAUAAAGUCUGUCAGCACCAGGAUGAAGGUCGAGCGGAGUCUAAGUGAAGACUCAACCUGAAGCGAGUGCACAAGGAACAUGAAGGCCUGUACAGCAUCCGUCUGCGCACCUGGGACUGGACCGUCGAAGACAGAGCCUACGUCUAUGUCAAAGAUCCUCAGAAACUCUUACUCUUAGAGUGUCAAGCAGUUUUUGUUUUAUAACUAGUGUAACUAUCACCCCGACUGAUAGCUACCAUUAGAAUCUGUCAUAGAAAGUUC